rnacentral:rRNA from 1 species
GUGAGGAAUAUUGGUCAAUGGGCGAGAGCCUGAACCAGCCAAGUCGCGUGAAGGAAGAAGGAUCUAUGGUUCGUAAACUUCUUUUGCAGGGGAAUAAAGUGCAGGACGUGUCCUGUUUUGUAUGUACCCUGAGAAUAAGGAUCGGCUAACUCCGUGCCAGCAGCCGCGGUAAUACGGAGGAUCCGAGCGUUAUCCGGAUUUAUUGGGUUUAAAGGGUGCGUAGGUGGUUUGAUAAGUCAGCGGUGAAAGUUUGCAGCUUAACUGUAAAAAUGCCGUUGAAACUGUCGGACUUGAGUGUAAAUGAGGUAGGCGGAAUGCGUGGUGUAGCGGUGAAAUGCAUAGAGAUCACGCAGAACUCCGAUUGCGAAGGCAGCUUACUAAGCUACAACUGACACUGAAGCACGAAAGCGUGGGGAACAAACAGGAUUAGAAACCCUGGUAGUCC